CUCCAGACUCCUACGGGAGGCAGCAGUGGGGAAUAUUGCACAAUGGGGGAAACCCUGAUGCAGCGACGCCGCGUGGAGGAAGAAGGUCUUCGGAUUGUAAACUCCUGUCCUUGGGGACGAUAAUGACGGUACCCAAGGAGGAAGCACCGGCUAACUACGUGCCAGCAGCCGCGGUAAAACGUGGGGUGCAAGCGUUGUCCGGAAUUACUGGGUGUAAAGGGGGCGCAGGCGGCACGGCAAGCCUGAUGUGAAAGCCCGCGGCCCAACCCCGGGACUGCUCUGGGAACUGUGCGGCUGGAGUGCGGGAGGGGCAGGCGGAAUUCCUGGUGUAGCGGUGAAAUGCGUAGAUAUCAGGAGGAACACCGGCGGCGAAGGCGGCCUGCUGGACCGCGACUGACGUUGAGGCUCGAAAGCGUGGGGAGCAAACAGGAUUAGAUACCCUAGUAAA
rnacentral:rRNA from 1 species